UGGAGUGACGGGUACACUGUGGGGACCGCCGCUGCUAAAGCGGAGGAAGGAAUGGGCAACGGUAGGUCAGUAUGCCCCGAAUAUCCCGGGCUACACGCGAGCUACAAUGGUUGGUACAAUGGGUAUCUACCCCGAAAGGGGACGGGAAUCUCCUAAAACCAAUCUUAGUUCGGAUUGAGGGCUGCAACUCGCCCUCAUGAAGCUGGAAUCCGUAGUAAUCGCGUUUCAACAGAACGCGGUGAAUACGUCCCUGCUCCUU
rnacentral:rRNA from 1 species